CAGGGUUUGACAUCCUGAGACCGCCUCUUAAUAGGGGUUUUCCCGCAAGGGACUCAGAGACAGGUGCUGCAUGGCUGUCGUCAGCUCGUGUCGUGAGAUGUUGGGUUAAGUCCCGCAACGAGCGCAACCCUCGCCUUUAGUUGCCAUCAUUCAGUUGGGCACUCUAGAGGGACCGCCGGCGACAAGCCGGAGGAAGGUGGGGAUGACGUCAAGUCCUCAUGGCCCUUACACCCUGGGCUACACACGUGCUACAAUGGCGGUGACAGUGGGCAGCUACUUCGCGAGAAGCGGCUAAUCCCAAAAAACCGUCCCAGUUCAGAUUGUACUCUGCAACUCGAGUACAUGAAGGUGGAAUCGCUAGUAAUCGCAGAACAGCAGGCUGCGGUGAAUACGUUCCC
rnacentral:rRNA from 1 species